CCUCACUCUCGGCCGCGUUCUCUCUCUCCCCGACUUCUCCUUCUCGCACACUCUCCCUUCUUCCCUCUGCAACCACCGGAAAACACCGGUUCCGGCCACCACCUCCUGGCAUCGCCUCCACCCUUCGAACCAGCAUCCAAAUCCGACCCAAGCCCGAGCCUCAUCACCCACCUGCACUGCCUCCGGCCCCCAAACCGCGACACCACUGCUUUCCUUAAUCCUCCGAUUUCCAGUCGCCGAUUCACGCCACCAAUGCCAGAAAUUGAAGCACCAAACCCUAGAGAGCAAAACCCGAACCAUAGCCUCAAACUCCGACCACCGAAAAAUGCCAUGCAAGCUCGCCGGAACUCGAGGUUCUGCAUGUCUCCAUUCUCCGAUCUCCAGCUCGAAUCGAGCUUCAACACUUCCAUAAACGGAGUCAGAGCUACACUAUCCUUCGAAACCCCUAAUCCAGACCUUUGACUCCAACCAGAGCCGCCGCACACCGCCGUAGCUCCGCCGUGUACAUCGCCGAUAUAUCCAAUCUUUCUGGUAAGCCAACCUGAGGCCCCCUUUCCUUGUCCCAUUGAGUUUCCAAUUUCGAAAUAAUGGGUCUCUGAUGCUUUGUUCUUCGAUUGGGGAUAUUUGAACAUUGGGUACGGAGGAGACGGAGAAGUACAGAUUAGAAGGAAAGGCUACUGGUCUUGAGUUCGAAUGUGUUCUUAAAGGAAUGAUGAAGAGAUGAUGGCGACUGCAAGAUGCAGCACGUAGUGAAGGAUGUGGUCUCGGCAGAAUGGGUAAGGAACACAGGCUUUCGAAUUUUGAAUUUGACUGUUGUUGGGACAUUGAGGUUAAUUAAUUAAGGAUGUUGUUUUAUGGAGGAAAUGAGGUCUGCGGAACUGCAAGCUUUCGGAGAAGGGAAGUGCUGGGUCAGUUCCAUUUGUAUUGAGGAAUUGGGAAUCUGAAUGGAUUGAUGGUGGUGGAAAAAGCAGCUGGCUUGAAUCGAAUCCAUGUUUGGAAAAGAAGAAAUGGUAAGGGUCUGGGUUUUGAAUCUAUUGUUGGUGAAACUGUGGUGGUUGUAAUCUGUUGUUUGUAGCCUCAUGAAUGGGAAAGUGUUAAAAUGGUGAUA